UACGGAGGGAGCUAGCGUUGUUCGGAAUUACUGGGCGUAAAGCGCACGUAGGCGGCUUUGUAAGUUAGAGGUGAAAGCCCGGAGCUCAACUCCGGAACUGCCUUUAAGACUGCAUCGCUUGAAUCCAGGAGAGGUGAGUGGAAUUCCGAGUGUAGAGGUGAAAUUCGUAGAUAUUCGGAAGAACACCAGUGGCGAAGGCGGCUCACUGGACUGGUAUUGACGCUGAGGAGCGAAAGCAUGGGGAGCGAACAGG
rnacentral:rRNA from 1 species